rnacentral:lncRNA from 1 species
UCCCAAAAUCCAAAUCCUUCACCCCAAAGUUCCCAAAUGCUUCCAAAUCCUUCAUCCCAGAAAACAAACCCUUCACCCCAAAUUCCAAACCCUGCACCCCAAAAUCCAAAUCCUUCGCCCCAAAAUUCAUCCCAAAAUUCCAAAUCCUUCACCCCAAAAUCCAAACCCUUCGCCCCAAAAUCCAAAUCCUGCACCCACAAAAUUCAUCCCAAAAACCAAAUCCUUCACCUCAAAUUCCAGAUCCGUCACCCCAAACUCAAAAUCCUGCAUGC